rnacentral:snoRNA from 16 species
AUGGCCUUACUUGAAUAGGGUAUGUUCUAUUGGCUCAUACCACUGCAUCCUUUCACAAUAAGGUGGAAAGCAGUCUCACCUCUGGGCCAAAUAAUGAUUAACGGCCAGGAU